GUGUCUGUGUUACUGUGUGUGUUACUGUGUGUGUGUGUGUCUGUUACUAAUUGUGUUAGUUGGGUGUUUGUGUGUGUCUGUUAUUGAGUGUGUGUCAGUGAGUGUGUUAGUUUGUGUGUGUGUGUUACUGUGUGUGUUAGUUGUGUUUUAGUUUGUGUGUGUUUGUUAUUGAGUGUGUGUCUGCUAGUGGGGGUCAGUGUGUGUGUGUUAGUGUGUGUGUCAGUGAGCGUGUUACUGUGUGUGUCUGUUACUGAGCGUGUUAGUUUGUGUGUGUCUCUUAGUGUGUGUCUGUUAGUGAGUCUGUUUGGUGUCUGUUAGUGAGUGUGUUUGUCAGUGAGAGUGUAUGUUUUGUAAGUGAGUGUGUAUGUCUGUCAGUGAGUGUGUAUGUAUGUCUGUCACUGAGUGUGUGUCUGUUAGUAAAUGUGUGUGUCUGUUAGCUAGUGUGUAUGCGUCUGUUCGUGAGAGUGUGUGGUUAAAACUCCUUCAGCACUUACCUUUCUCCAGCGCCGGGCUCCCAUGGCGCUGGGGAUCUCUCCGCCCCAAUCUGCCUCUAAGCUCCAAAUGCGCAUGCGCGGCAAGAGCCGCACGCGCAUUCAAACCACCCUUAGGAAAGCAUUACUCAAUGCUUUCCUAUGGACGUCCAGCGUCUUCUCACUGUGAUUUUCACAGUGAGAAUCGUGGAAGCGCCUCUAGCGGCUGUCAGUGAGACAGCUACUAGAGGCUGGAUUAACCCUCAAUGAAACAUAGCAGUUUCUCUGAAAUUGUUAUGUUUUCAGCUGCAGGGUUAAAACUAGAG